UACGUAGGGUGCAAGCGUUAAUCGGAAUUACUGGGCGUAAAGCGUGCGCAGGCGGUUUUGUAAGUUUGUCGUGAAAUCCCCGGGCUCAACCUGGGAAUGGCGAUGAAGACUGCAAGGCUGGAAUCUGGCAGAGGGGGGUAGAAUUCCACGUGUAGCAGUGAAAUGCGUAGAGAUGAUGGAGGAACACCGAUGGCGAAGGCAGCCCCCUGGGUCAAGAUUGACGCUCGAUGCACGAAAGCGUGGGGAGCAAACAGG
rnacentral:rRNA from 1 species